AGAGUUUGAUCCUGGCUCAGGACGAACGCUGGCGGCGUGCCUAACACAUGCAAGUCGAACGAGCGAGAGAGAGCUUGCUUUCUCGAGCGAGUGGCGAACGGGUGAGUAACGCGUGAGGAAUCUGCCUCAAAGAGGGGGACAACAGUUGGAAACGACUGCUAAUACCGCAUAAGCCCACGGGUCGGCAUCGACCAGAGGGAAAAGGAGCAAUCCGCUUUGAGAUGGCCUCGCGUCCGAUUAGCUAGUUGGUGAGGUAACGGCCCACCAAGGCGACGAUCGGUAGCCGGACUGAGAGGUUGAACGGCCACAUUGGGACUGAGACACGGCCCAGACUCCUACGGGAGGCAGCGGUGGGGAAUAUUGCACAAUGGGGGAAACCCUGAUGCAGCGACGCCGCGUGGAGGAAGAAGGUCUUCGGAUUGUAAACUCCUGUUGUUGGGGAAGAUAAUGACGGUACCCAACAAGGAAGUGACGGCUAACUACGUGCCAGCAGCCGCGGUAAAACGUAGGUCACAAGCGUUGUCCGGAAUUACUGGGUGUAAAGGGAGCGCAGGCGGGAAGACAAGUUGGAAGUGAAAUCUAUGGGCUCAACCCAUAAACUGCUUUCAAAACUGUCUUUCUUGAGUAGUGCAGAGGUAGGCGGAAUUCCCGGUGUAGCGGUGGAAUGCGUAGAUAUCGGGAGGAACACCAGUGGCGAAGGCGGCCUACUGGGCACCAACUGACGCUGAGGCUCGAAAGUGUGGGUAGCAAACAGGAUUAGAUACCCUGGUAGUCCACACCGUAAACGAUGAUUACUAGGUGUUGGAGGAUUGACCCCUUCAGUGCCGCAGUUAACACAAUAAGUAAUCCACCUGGGGAGUACGACCGCAAGGUUGAAACUCAAAGGAAUUGACGGGGGCCCGCACAAGCAGUGGAGUAUGUGGUUUAAUUCGACGCAACGCGAAGAACCUUACCAAGUCUUGACAUCCCUUGACAGGCAUAGAAAUAUGUUUUCUCUUCGGAGCAAGGAGACAGGUGGUGCAUGGUUGUCGUCAGCUCGUGUCGUGAGAUGUUGGGUUAAGUCCCGCAACGAGCGCAACCCUUAUGGUCAGUUACUACGCAAGAGGACUCUGGCCAGACUGCCGUUGACAAAACGGAGGAAGGUGGGGAUGACGUCAAAUCAUCAUGCCCUUUAUGACUUGGGCUACACACGUACUACAAUGGCGUUAAACAAAGAGAAGCAAGACCGCGAGGUGGAGCAAAACUCAGAAACAACGUCCCAGUUCGGACUGCAGGCUGCAACUCGCCUGCACGAAGUCGGAAUUGCUAGUAAUCGUGGAUCAGCAUGCCACGGUGAAUACGUUCCCGGGCCUUGUACACACCGCCCGUCACACCAUGAGAGCCGGGGGGACCC
rnacentral:rRNA from 1 species